CAGAGUCUCGUACUCCCAAACCACUGUUUACGUACCUAUCGUUGCUUCGGCAGGGGGCUCCAGGGGGAGCCGCCUUGGGUGCCUGCCGGAGGUAUACACAAACUCUUGCCAUAUAAUGAAGCUCUGAGUAUCUAUUAAAUAAGUCA
rnacentral:misc_RNA from 1 species